rnacentral:rRNA from 1 species
GACGAACGCUGGCGGCGUGCCUAAUACAUGCAAGUAGAACGCUGAAGGAGGAGCUUGCUUCUCUGGAUGAGUUGCGAACGGGUGAGUAACGCGUAGGUAACCUGCCUGGUAGCGGGGGAUAACUAUUGGAAACGAUAGCUAAUACCGCAUAAGAGUAGAUGUUGCAUGACAUUUACUUAAAAGGUGCAAUUGCAUCACUACCAGAUGGACCUGCGUUGUAUUAGCUAGUCGGUGAGGUAACGGCUCACCAAGGCAACGAUACAUAGCCGACCUGAGAGGGUGAUCGGCCACACUGGGACUGAGACACGGCCCAGACUCCUACGGGAGGCAGCAGUAGGGAAUCUUCGGCAAUGGACGGAAGUCUGACCGAGCAACGCCGCGUGAGUGAAGAAGGGUUUCGGAUCGUAAAGCUCUGUUGUAAGAGAAGAACGAGUGUGAGAGUGGAAAGUUCACACUGUGACGGUAUCUUACCAGAAAGGGACGGCUAACUACGUG